UCUGCAAUCUGGUGAGAUCCGUCCAUUGGUAUGA
rnacentral:lncRNA from 1 species